rnacentral:tRNA from 1 species
GAUGAGGUGGCCGAGUGGUUAAGGUGAUGGACUACUAAUCCAUUAUCCUCUGCACAUGUGGGUUCAAAUCCCAUCCUCAUUA